GACGAACGCUGGCGGCGUGCUUAACACAUGCAAGUCGAACGGUAAGGCCCUUCGGGGUACACGAGUGGCGAACGGGUGAGUAACACGUGGGUGAUCUGCCCUACACUUCGGGAUAAGCCUGGGAAACUGGGUCUAAUACCGGAUAGGACCACUGCCUGCAUGGGUGGUGGUGGAAAGCUUUUGCGGUGUGGGAUGGGCCCGCGGCCUAUCAGCUUGUUGGUGGGGUGAUGGCCUUCCAAGGCGACGACGGGUAGCCGGCCUGAGGGGGUAACCGGCCACGCUGGGACUGAGAUACGGCGCAGGCUCCUGCGGGAGGCAGCAGUGGGGAAUAUUGCACAAUGGGCGGGAGGCUGAUGCAGCGACGCCGCGUGAGGGAUGCCGGCAUGCGGGUUGGAAACCUCUUUCAGCACCGACGAAGCGCAAGUGACGGUAGGUGCAGAAGAAGGACCGGCCAACUACGUGCCAGCCGCCGCAGUAA
rnacentral:rRNA from 1 species